GUGCCCUCUUAAGGUUGACGCAGUGCCUGAAGAGGCUAACACAGAAGGGUGAAGUAAGUCUCCAUAAACCCCAGGGAAGAGAUUGUGAAACUCCCCUUUGGAUCAUGUCUGGAGUCACAGCU
rnacentral:snoRNA from 1 species